GCCAAUCAGUAUGGUUUUCGGGGGAACAAAAAAAAGGGCCAACUUAGAAGUUAAAAGAGUUUUUAAAAAGAAAAGACAAAAAGAUAGAGUUAGUUUGGUAGUACACCAAUCAUUAUGGUUUUAAAAAAGGCCAACAAAGAAGUUCAAGUUUCUAAACGGAAAAUAAGACAAAAGAUCGACUUGCUUAAGCAUGCAACCAAGAAAGAGUUGCUCAGAAAUGCCACUAUCCUGU
rnacentral:misc_RNA from 1 species